GGCAGGUGCAGAACUCCAGGAUCAUCGGGAUCCUUCACGUGGGAGGUGAAGCCACGAUUUCCCGGUGCUGCUGGGUGAAGUGCCAGCGUCGUUCAGGUGACCUGAGCUGUCACCUGCAUCCAGGAUUUCCUGUCUCUCCCAGCAAACAGCCCACGAGAUCCAGCUGAAGGGUGCAGCCCGGGAUCACCUCAUGUUCGUGCAGGGGGGAGUGCCCCUGGAUGUGCCCGUGGAGUCCUUGGCUGUCACCUCACCACAGGAAGCACCGGACAGAGGGCCACAAGGAGCAGUGAGGUCCCUUCUCCUGGUCCUGGAGUUUGUGGAGGGCUCAGCAGAGCCAGCCAGGGCAGAGAUCACCGUGGGGGCCAUUCAAAGCCCUCAGCUGGCAACCAAGAAGGCCGUGGAGUUCAGCCUGGCGGGCGGCGCGGAGCUGCAGCGGGCCGGCUUCCAGCUGCACGGCCCCGACGGAGCCCUGCAGCGCGGGCAGCGCCGGCGGAUCGGCGUCUCGUGGCUGCCACCUGCCGAGCUGCAGACCAGUGACCCCCCGCUCGUGUCAGCCCUCCUGACUGUGAGAGGUGACAUCACAGAAUCCUACCGAGUCCUGCUCAUGGCAAGAGUUGUGUCUGCAGCUGCUCCCACUGGCUGAGGGAUCCAGGACAAGUGGAAAGAUGAUGGAGGUUACUUUUCUGGGAGAUUCCUGCAUCUGGUUUGAUUCUGAGGUUGUUGCAAAUAAGUGAGGGCAGUAGGGAUGUGGGAAGGAAGGGCCAUGUAACAUUUGUGCUCUGUUUCACCCAAAGUUCUCUGUAAACUCUGGGGCCAGUGGCUUGACUUGCCAGCUGACUCUGUGACAAUAAUCUUGUGUUAGAGGAAACAAUUACUGAGGGCCCCAAGCUGCUUCACCUGCUGUUAAUUCCAUGUCUCCCAAAGGUGGGCAUUCCACCAGGAGGAGUAUCUGGUUUACAUCCACAUAAGUAAGUUUCUAUCUUUUUCCAAUUUUGGAUGCUUUUUGUAGGAUUUGGAAAAGCC
rnacentral:lncRNA from 1 species